CGCUCCCAACUGGCAUGUAGGCUGAAGAACUCAGAAAUUGAGUGUUGUCAUCAGCUUCGUCUCUCAUCAAAUGAGAUUGGAGUUAAAUAACAGCACAACAUUG